rnacentral:lncRNA from 1 species
AUAUGCAUAAUUAAUUAAGGUUGCUAAUGGAGCCCGAACCAUACAUUAUUCCCUGUCCAUUCCUGCUUGAUUUAUUUUACAGUUUAAAUGCAUUAUGUUAUCUGGUUUAUCUAUUCUAUGGUUUUAAAUGCAUGUAUCACUGUCUUACUUCACCACUGUGUGAUUUUGAAAUUUAAGAUAUGAUUGUAUUACCGGGUGCAUGUUUUUUUUUUAUGU